rnacentral:rRNA from 1 species
UUUCUUGCCGUGCGUGUCGAUGCCAAGCAAUGAGUGGAGAGAGCUCCAGGGAUAUGAUUGUUUCUGUCCCCGGGUAGACAAGGUGCCUGGUUGCAUCCAUUCGUGGGCUGAAAAUUGGUGGCUGGUUGCAGCAUUCCCUUGCCAACUAAUGCAAUUGGAGUGUAGCCCUGACAUGCAGACGAGGACAAAGUGCUUCUGUUCGACCCGUCUUGAAACACGGACCAAGGAGUCUGACACUCAUGCAAGCUCGUUGGUGGGUAAACUUGUUCGCGUAAUUAACGUGUCUGUUGUGAUUUGUGCAGCACGCCCGACCAAUCAUUGAGAGAGGUUUGAGUGUGAGCAUUUCUGUCAGGACCCGAAAGAUGGUGAACUAUGCCUGAGAAGGGUAAAUUCAGGGGAAACUCUGAUUGAGGCUCGUAGCGAUACUGACGUG